UCGAGAAUCUUCGGCAAUGGGCGCAAGCCUGACCGAGCGACGCCGCGUGGAGGACGAAGGCCUUCGGGUUGUAAACUCCUGUCGAGGGGGAAGAAGGGGCGAAAGCCCUUGACUGAUCCCUGGAGGAAGCACGGGCUAAGUUCGUGCCAGCAGCCGCGGUAAGACGAACCGUGCGAACGUUAUUCGGAAUCACUGGGCUUAAAGCGCGUGUAGGCGGGUCGGAACGUCGGCCGCUGAAAUCCCCCGGCUUAACCGGGGAAGGGGCGCCGAUACGACCGGCCUGGAGGAACGUAGGGGGAGCUGGAACUUCCGGUGGAGCGGUGAAAUGCGUUGAGAUCGGAAGGAACGCCCGUGGCGAAAGCGAGCUCCUGGACGUUUUCUGACGCUGAGACGCGAAAGCCAGGGGAGCGAACGGGAUUAGAUACCCCCGUAGUCC
rnacentral:rRNA from 1 species